AAGCAAGUGGCCUCGUCUGUCCGCUCGCCGUCCCUGCCCUCAAAAGCAUAGGGACUGGCGAUACUGUGCAAGUCCGGUGGUGGUUGUUUUUUUUUACCCUCCUUGUAAAUGUUUUGACUUUGGCCUCAAUGACUCAGGAGAGAGGAACCUCCCUCCAGUUUGACUGACUCGAUCCCAGGGGCAAGCAACCGGUGGAUCUCUCCUAAGGGAAAAAGCCCCUAACCAAGCACCCAAGAAAGCGGAUAAAUACGAAGAGUCCAGUUUUAAUCUUGCACCAUGCAGGAGACCUACUUUGAUGAAAGAUGUAAUUUCCAGGGAAAAAAUGCUACCUUUAAUGGAUUAGAGGCUAAUUCUCCCACCCUCUAUUGUGUCUAAAACACACUGAACUUUAAAAAAAAAAAUAGAAGGCCAAAGUUUUCGUUUUACCAAGAGGAUGGGACCCUGCUAUUUCUCAGAGACUACCAUGAGAUGUAUAUCAAUCUUUCUCAAAACACCAAAAAUCAUUUUGGUCCAUCUGAAUUGACCAGUGAUAGAUGAUGAAUAACCAACUUGCUGCUAUUUGCUGUUUUGUUUCACAGGCUAAUGUUUUGCUCUUUAUUAUAAUUAUUAUUGUAAACCAUUCCAAAUCUCUGGAGUUAGGAUGGUAUGCCAAUGUUUAGGAAAACAAAUAAAUAAAUACUUUUUGGAUCGUUAAGAGAUUUUAACUCUCAAAUGGAACAGAAGAAUUAAGCACCUAAAUUCUGGAAUUAGUCCAGGCAAGAAUCACAAUGAACACCAGCUCUGAUAAGACUAUAUUAACUGAAUCUUGCAAGUCUGAAAGUAUUUUCCCCCUUCUCUCCUUUUACUGUCUGGAAAACUAGAAAGGGUCCCUUCUGAAGCACUUCCCGUGCAUUCUUUCCUUUUGUGGACUUCUUUUAUUCUAGACCGGGAUGCCUUAUGCACAGUCACUCACGCCCUCGUGACGUCUCGUCUGGAUUACUGCAAUGCUCUCUACAUGGGGCUCCCCUUGAGGGGCAUCCGGAGGCUUCAGUUAGUCCAGAACGCGGCUGCGCGGGUGAUAGAGGGAGCCCCUCGUGGCUCCCGCGUGACACCUAUCCUGCGCAGACUGCACUGGCUACCUGUGGCCUUCCGGGUGCGCUUCAAGGUUCUGGUGAACGUCUUCAAAGCGCUCCAUGGCAUAGGGCCGGGCUAUUUACGGGACCGCCUACUGCUACCGAAUACCUCCCACCGACCCGUGCGCUCUCACAGAGAGGGACUCCUCAGGGUGCCGUCGGCGCGACAGUGUCGUCUGGCGACGCCCAGGGGAAAGGCCUUCUCUGUGGGGGCUCCCGCCCUCUGGAACGAACUCCCCCCGGGACUCCGUCAACUUCCGGACCUCCGAACCUUUCGUCGCGAGCUUAAAACGCAUUUAUUCAUCUGCGCAGGACUGGGUUAGUUUUUUUAAUUUAUGGGUUUUAAUUAGGGGUUUUAAAUGGGGUUUUAAAUUGUAUCUAAAUUUUUAGGCCGUUAUUGAAUCAGUUUUUUAUAUAGUUUUUAAUUUGUAUUCUAUGUAUUGUGUUUUUAUUGGCUGUGAACCGCCCUGAGUCCUUCGGGAGAAGGGCGGUAUACAAAUAUAAUAAAUAAAUAAAUAAAUAAAUUUACCAGUUAUCCUGUUUACAGCUUCUCCUCCUGGCACCCAAAAUAAUUCCCUCAUUCUGCUACACAUCAUGACAUGUAUUUUGCCAUUUUUUUUGUAGCUAGUUACAAACAUCCAUGGCUGUAUCCUCUUCUAUCUUCCAAGUGCAUUUAUUUAUUUGAUUAAUAGAGACACCCACCUCACUUUUACAUGACUCUAGGCACCUUACAAUAAAAUACAUAAAAUACAUACAUAAAAUACACAAUAUAAAAAUUGCUUCCAAUGUAAAUGUGUUGUCUUUGGGAGGCUGCUAGCUGUAUUUUUGCAAAGUUAAUGCAAGGAGAAAAUUCUCAUCUGCCCAAUGGUCUAGGGAAGGUUGCUGCAACAACGUAUUUAAUUAGGUGAUGCUGAAGAUUUCAGCAUCUCCAGAACACCCGGGGUUGUUAUAUGCAGAAUGAUUAUUACUACCUUCUUUGUAUGUGUAUGAUGUAUGAACUGUAUGUAUUUCUUUGAUAAAUUGUUUUUAAAUAUUUCCUCUUUUUUAUUAAUUGAAGAGGAAACUCAUGCAUCAAUGACAAUUUUAUGCUGGUUUACACAUAAAUUAUUUCUCCACAAUGUUCACUUUUAUUAUUAUUGCCAAUAUUACAGCAAAUGCAUUUUUUUGCCUUGUAAACAAGAUUUUGCUUACAGCUAAAUGAAAAGAAGUAAAGUUAAUCACGUUGAAAUAAGAGGUUUAAGACUGUAAUCCAGGGAUGGUACCUCAACAGAUACUUUUUCACAGUUAAAUGGUCUUCCUCGAGGAUAGGCAAAAAUAUAACAAGUUCAAGAUCUCAAGACCUUUUCCGUCCUAGUGAUCUUCAAAUGCCAAAUUUUAGAUUUUCUUGAGAGAAGGAGGAAGGGAGGGAGAAGGAGAAGGAGAAGGAGAAGGAGAAGGAGAAGGAGAAGGAGAAUGUUAUGUAUUCAUGUUUGUACCUUUAAAUAUUUGAGCGGGAAAUCAGCACGUUGCUGAUUGGACGAAGCCUCCAGCAGAACUGUAUAAAAGGAGAGGUUUUUCCCCCAGCCUGUUGCUGGGUUCACCCUAUAUUAAAGAGCUGUUGUCACUACCCUGGUCUCCAGCCUCGUUACUUCCCGAACUUAACAUUGGCGACGAAGGUGGGAUCUCGAGGCUGAGGAGAACCAGAACCGAGCUGAAGCACGAUAGACCCGAACCCAGCAAACCCAGGGCAGAAAAGCGGAGAUGGCCAGUUACACUCCGCCCGCACCGUUUGACCCGGCUAAAGAGAAAUGGGGAACGUAUAUGACCCGUUUCGAAAGCUUCCUAGAAGCCAACGAACUGCACGGAGUUCCAGAUAACCGAAAAAGGGCUUAUUUCCUAAGCCACUGUGGUCCGGAGGUCAUUGAUAUCGCGGAAGCCCUGGCAGAGCCAACGCCGUUGCAGUCGGUGU